ensembl:snoRNA LOC120101294 small nucleolar RNA SNORA17
AUUGUCCCUAGAAGUGAUGCAGGUGUGGCUGCUGUGUCACUUAUGUGUCAGUAGGUGGCAGAGAGGAGAAAGGCUUUAUCUAUGCUCAGUGUUUUGACCUAUGGACAUCUGAAUGACUACUAACCUAAAAUU